rnacentral:rRNA from 1 species
CGUACAAGGUCUCCGUAGGUGAACCUGCGGAGGGAUCAUUACAAGAACGCCCGGGCUUCGGCCUGGUUAUUCAUAACCCUUUGUUGUCCGACUCUGUUGCCUCCGGGGCGACCCUGCCUUCGGGCGGGGGCUCCGGGUGGACACUUCAAACUCUUGCGUAACUUUGCAGUCUGAGUAAACUUAAUUAGUAAAUUAAAACUUUUAACAACGGAUCUCUUGGUUCUGGCAUCGAUGAAGAACGCAGCGAAAUGCGAUAAGUAAUGUGAAUUGCAGAAUUCAGUGAAUCAUCGAAUCUUUGAACGCACAUUGCGCCCCCUGGUAUUCCGGGGGGCAUGCCUGUUCGAGCGUCAUUUCACCACUCAAGCCUCGCUUGGUAUUGGGCAACGCGGUCCGCCGCGUGCCUCAAAUCGUCCGGCUGGGUCUUCUGUCCCCUAAGCGUUGUGGAAACUAUUCGCUAAAGGGUGUUCGGGAGGCUACGCCGUAAAACAACCCCAUUUCUAAGGUUGACCUCGGAUCAGGUAGGGAUACCCGCUGAACUUA